rnacentral:rRNA from 1 species
UAUUGCCCAAUGGGCGCAAGCCUGAUGCAGCCAUGCCGCGUGUAUGAAGAAGGCCUUCGGGUUGUAAAGUACUUUCAGCGGGGCGGAAGGCGGUGCGGUUAAUAACCGCGCCGACUGACGUUACCCGCAGAAAAAGCACCGGCUAACUCCGCGCCCGCAGCCGCGGUAAUACGGAGGGUGCAAGCGGUAAUCGGAAUUACUGGGCGUAAAGCGCACGCAGGCGGUCUGUUAAGUCAGAUGUGAAAUCCCCGGGCUUAACCUGGGAACUGCAUUUGAAACUGGCAGGCUUGAGUCUCGUAGAGGGGGGUAGAAUUCCAGGUGUAGCGGUGAAAUGCGUAGAGAUCUGGAGGAAUACCGGUGGCGAAGGCGGCCCCCUGGACGAAGACUGACGCUCAGGUGCGAAAGCGUGGGGAGCAAACAG